rnacentral:rRNA from 1 species
GCUUACGGCCGCACCGCCUGGUUCACGCCUGAUCUCGGAAGCUAAGAUAGGUUGGGCCUGAUUAGUACUUGGAUGGGAGACCGCCUGGGAAUAACAGGUGCUGUAAGCU